AAUAAACGCUGGCGGCGUGCCUAACACAUGCAAGUCGAGCGAGAAAGCUCCUUCGGGAGUGAGUACAGCGGCGAACGGGUGAGCAACGCGUGGGAAUCUACCCUUCAGUGAAGAAUACCCUUGAGAAAUCGAGGUUAAUACUGCAUACGUCCUGUAAAGGAGAAAGAUGGCCUCUUUGCUGUCGUUGAAGGAUGAGCCUGCGUACUAUUAGCUAGUUGGUAGGGUAACGGCCUACCAAGGCGAUGAUGGUUAACCGGCCUGAGAGGGUGUACGGUCACACUGGAACUUAGACACGGCCCAGACUCCUACGGGAGGCAGCAGUGGGGAAUUUUGGACAAUGGGCGAAAGCCUGAUCCAGCAAUGCCGCGUGUGUGAAGAAGGCCUUCGGGUUGUAAAGCACCUUUGUCCGGAAAGAAAUGGCUCUGGUUAAUACCUGGGGUCGGUGACGGUACCGGAAGAAUAAGGACCGGCUAACUACGUGCCAGCCGCCGCAGUAA
rnacentral:rRNA from 1 species